rnacentral:rRNA from 1 species
AAUCAACGCUGGCGGCGUGCCUCAGACAUGCAAGUCGAACGCGAAAGGCUCCUUCGGGGGCCGAGUAGAGUGGCGCACGGGUGAGUAACACGUAGGUAAUUUGCCUUUGGGUGGGGAAUAACUCAGGGAAACUUGAGCUAAUACCGCAUAAUGCAGCGGCUCGACAUCGAGACAGUUGUUAAAGCGGGGGAUCGCAAGACCUCGCGCCUGAAGAGAAGCCUGCGGCAGAUUAGCUAGUUGGUAGGGUAAUGGCCUACCAAGGCGACGAUCUGUAACCGGCCUGAGAGGGCGGUCGGUCACACUGACACUGACAUACGGGUCAGACUCCUACGGGAGGCAGCAGUCGGGAAUUUU